CCUGAGAAUUUAUGUGGUGAGAAAGAAGC
rnacentral:piRNA from 1 species